UACGGAGGAUGCAAGCGUUAUCCGGAUUCAUUGGGUUUAAAGGGUGCGUAGGCGGACUAUUAAGUCAGUGGUGAAAGCCUGCAGCUUAACUGCAGAACUGCCAUUGAUACUGAUAGUCUUGAGUUUGGUUAAGGUAGGCGGAACGUGUAAUGUAGCGGUGAAAUGCUUAGAUAUUACACAGAACACCAAUUGCGUAGGCAGCUUACUGAGCCGACACUGACGCUGAGGCACGAAAGCGUGGGGAUCGAACAGGA
rnacentral:rRNA from 1 species